UUCCGGUUGAUCCUGCCAGACCCGACUGCUAUCAGAGUGGGGCUAAGCCAUGCGAGUCAACGUAGCAAUACGUGGCGAACGGCUCAGUAACACGUAGUCAACAUGCCCAAAGGACGUGGAUAACCUCGGGAAACCGAGGAUAAACCACGAUAAACCACGAUUCCUGGAAUGGUUCAUGGUUGAAACCUAUAUGGCCUUUGGAUUGGACUGCGGCCGAUCAGGCUGUUGGUGAGGUAAUGGCCCACAAACCUGUAACCGGUACGGGCUCUGAGAGGAGUAGCCCGGAGAUGGGCACUGA
rnacentral:rRNA from 1 species